rnacentral:rRNA from 1 species
AGAGUUUGAUCCUGGCUCAGGACGAACGCUGGCGGCGUGCGUAAUACAUGCAAGUAGAACGCUGAAGAGAGGAGCUUGCUCUUCUUGGAUGAGUUGCGAACGGGUGAGUAACGCGUAGGUAACCUGCCUUGUAGCGGGGGAUAACUAUUGGAAACGAUAGCUAAUACCGCAUAACAAUGGAUGACACAUGUCAUUUAUUUGAAAGGGGCAAUUGCUCCACUACAAGAUGGACCUGCGUUGUAUUAGCUAGUAGGUGAGGUAAUGGUUCACCUAGGCGACGAUACAUAGCCGACCUGAGAGGGUGAUCGGCCACACUGGGACUGAGACACGGCCCAGACUCCUACGGGAGGCAGCAGUAGGGAAUCUUCGGCAAUGGGGGCAACCCUGACCGAGCAACGCCGCGUGAGUGAAGAAGGUUUUCGGAUCGUAAAGCUCUGUUGUAAGUCAAGAACGGGUGUGAGAGUGGAAAGUUCACACUGUGACGGUAGCUUACCAGAAAGGGACGGCUAACUACGUGCCAGCAGCCGCGGUAAUACGUAGGUCCCGAGCGUUGUCCGGAUUUAUUGGGCGUAAAGCGAGCGCAGGCGGUUUGAUAAGUCUGAAGUUAAAGGCUGUGGCUCAACCAUAGUUCGCUUUGGAAACUGUCAAACUUGAGUGCAGAAGGGGAGAGUGGAAUUCCAUGUGUAGCGGUGAAAUGCGUAGAUAUAUGGAGGAACACCGGUGGCGAAAGCGGCUCUCUGGUCUGUAACUGACGCUGAGGCUCGAAAGCGUGGGGAGCGAACAGGAUUAGAUACCCUGGUAGUCCACGCCGUAAACGAUGAGUGCUAGGUGUUGGAUCCUUUCCGGGAUUCAGUGCCGCAGCU